UGGUGUGUGUAUUUAUACUGCGUGUCUGCCUGUGCUCCUCGUUGCGUCGUCUGUGUUCAUUCCCUAUGUUUCUCUACUUCUCCCUGUUCUGCUGUCCUCAUCUGCCAUCUCUGAGUUUCUCCCGCUGACCUUAUGUUCCAGGUUUGUUUGUUAGUUUCACCCAGUUUAGGUUUAUGUUCAGUCCUGCCCUCACUUCUGUUAUCUUCACUGUAAAUAAACCUCCACUCGCAUCUCCAUCACCGUCUGCAUCUUGGGUCCUCAUUUAUUCAUCACACGACUGCUGCCCCAGUCGUGACAGAUAAAGUGCUGCACUCUCAAAGACUGAACCAGCAUUGCAGCCAUGGGUCACUGUGAGCAUCACAGGGAAGGUUGAAGCGUCCACUGCACCUGUAUGGCCAGAGUCGUGGAGACCUGCAUCCACGUCACUGCUCUUCUGUUUAAUGUAGAAGCAACAGUGCGGAUCUGUGGCACGAGGACUGUUACAGAUGAACCUCCAUACUGAGUUUUGCCUGGUAAUAUGACCAAGAUACAGCCAGAGGUUGGCCAUAAGAUAGACUUCUCCUCUUCAGCUGCCCAAAAAAGGCUCUUGAUCAAAACAUAAACAGACCAUCCGUAUUGAAAGGUAAAAGGAGCCCUGCCCAAAAAAGGCUCUUGAUCAAAACAUAAACAGACCAUCCGUAUUGAAAGGUAAAAGGAGCCGUCCUCAAAAAAGAAAAAUCCCACCUGCUACUGUGGAGGAGUUGUCACUGCUAUAAUGCCAUAAUGUUUUAUAUAGGGGUCUAGAUUUAUGCCUGUAGUGCACUGCCAUGUAAAUAAUUUGCAUUUACUGAAUA
ensembl:lncRNA